UGGUUUCCAGAGACAGUGGGACCAAUCAUCAGUGAAAUAAGGGAACUAGAGUCAGUCAGAAGUGUCCAGUCAUGUCAGAAUGAAGAGAGUGGAAAAGUAGCAGCCUGGGCUGAGACCAUGAAGGCAGAGCCUAUAGAGACACAAGGCACAGCCAACUGCUGGAUGCAGCUCAAGGUAUGAAAGGAAGGACCUGCAUUUUACACCAUCUCUGCUUAUUGCAAAAGUUAGGGAAUAAUGUCAGCAGAGACCAGGACUCAGCAAAAAGAUGGGAAGAUACCUGGGAGAACCACCCUUGUCUCCAGGCCUAUGGAGAAACUGGGAAACUCACAGACAUUAUCCAGACAGUAAGAGCAAGGACCGAAACAGCCCAUCUGGUGACAAAAGAGUAGCCUCCAUCUUCCCAAUACAAACAGCAUGUACUCAUGCUUGCAAGACAUAGAAAGCUACAGUCCUGUCUCCCAGGCCUGGCAGCUCGUGCUCAUGUGUGUACAAGAUCAGAGGAGCAAAGUGCAGACUUCAUUCUGCUGCUGGUGCUGCUUAACUUGAGCAGGAAGCUCUCCCUUGCUGAGAACAAGAGAUCAGCUGCUCUGCCAGCAACUGCCUGCUCCCUGACACCAGGCUGCAUACCAUCAGAAAGAAACACAAUCCAGUUACUGGGUGGAAAGUGAGUCACAUCUGCCCCUGGAUACACAUAGAAGCAACAGGCAUGCCACUCUGAUUAAUAAUGAAAGGCUUGGCACUAGCACAUUUCAUUGUAAAAAGAGAGGGAGCCAAAUCCUAGCUCCCUUUUCUACCAAGCUUAGGAAAGCAUAAAAUGGGGUGGGGGGAAGAUUGCAAGACCUGAGGGGUGGAGGAAGAGAGAGAAGAAGGCGUUAAAGAAAUAAAGAAGCAAAGAAAUCUACCUGCCCAGGUGGCAAAGAAGCAUGCAUUUUAUACUAUUCCAAGAGCCUGCAAUUCCACAGAGCUGUGCCAUUUGUUUCUUGUACUGGUUUUAGGAGUACAUUCUGUUGUUCAAGAAAGACAAAGAAUAAGUGAAGCUUACCAUUUUAAUCCAGCUCCCCAACUGAGGACCUGAGAAACUGUUAUCCAUGCCUACUCGACCACACGAUGAGAGUUGCAUCUCUUCUCAGAUAACCCUCCUCUAUGCACAGGUUCGAAGCUCCCUGGAUGAGAAUGAGCAUACCUUGGGCAGGAGACAGAAUAAUGUCACACUAGUACAAGCAACCUCUCUGAUGGGCAAGCCAUCAGGGUCACCCAAGUUGCUGGAUGCUUGCUUUGUGGCAUCUGCCUCCUACUGACUGCUCUAGUUUUGUGUUGCUGAUAUGUCCACGUGUUGCCAGUUACAUCAUAGGAAUCAUUGCUAAGUUGUUGGUAGCAAGAAAUGUAAAGCAUUUGACUCUAGUUCCUCUCCCCACCAUUGCACACCCCAUGGAGUCACUGGGAUCCACUGGUAGGCUAGUCAGCCUGGGCUGAAGAAUGGGAAUAUUGGUUGAGUUCCGGCACAAGGACAGCUUAUGUGACCAGUUGGACGUUCUAACUAAUGUAUCAGGCCCUGCCCCAUGCAUAAACCAUUAGUUCUUGGAAUUUUAAUGUAGUAUCUUGACUUCUGGCUGAGCUAACAACAUAUCCCAUCAGGUCAAUCUCUACCUAAGCCCCAUGAUUCCUGAGCUUCAUGGAUAAUAGCCAAUGCUAUCCCUAACCCCUGUCACUCAUAUAAAGAUAUAGUAUUUGUCUUCAUGUCCUUGAAUUUGUAUCCCCCCCUGGACCCCCCAUUUCCCAUGUAUAAAAAUCAAAUCUGCAUCUGAUAUCACUAUGUGUACACCGUGGGCAGAAGAAAGCAACCUCAGUUAAGAAGAAUGGUCAGGGGAGAUGCUGCAAGUUUUAGAAGUGAAUUAACCUACAGUGAGGGAAUGGAGGCAUCAAUAAACACUGGUUGCAAUAAAGCAAUUAAAAAUUCGA